GACGAACGCUGGCGGCGUGCCUAAUACAUGCAAGUAGAACGCUGAAGAGAGGAGCUUGCUCUUCUUGGAUGAGUUGCGAACGGGUGAGUAACGCGUAGGUAACCUGCCUUGUAGCGGGGGAUAACUAUUGGAAACGAUAGCUAAUACCGCAUAACAAUGGAUGACACAUGUCAUUUAUUUGAAAGGGGCAAUUGUUCCACUACAAGAUGGACCUGCGUUGUAUUAGCUAGUAGGUGAGGUAAUGGCUCACCUAGGCGACGAUACAUAGCCGACCUGAGAGGGUGAUCGGCCACACUGGGACUGAGACACGGCCCAGACUCCUACGGGAGGCAGCAGUAGGGAAUCUUCGGCAAUGGGGGCAACCCUGACCGAGCAACGCCGCGUGAGUGAAGAAGGUUUUCGGAUCGUAAAGCUCUGUUGUAAGUCAAGAACGGGUGUGAGAGUGGAAAGUUCACACUGUGACGGUAGCUUACCAGAAAGGGACGGCUAACUACGUGCCAGCAGCCGCGGUAAUACGUAGGUCCCGAGCGUUGUCCGGAUUUAUUGGGCGUAAAGCGAGCGCAGGCGGUUUGAUAAGUCUGAAGUUAAAGGCUGUGGCUCAACCAUAGUUCGCUUUGGAAACUGUCAAACUUGAGUGCAGAAGGGGAGAGUGGAAUUCCAUGUGUAGCGGUGAAAUGCGUAGAUAUAUGGAGGAACACCGGUGGCGAAAGCGGCUCUCUGGUCUGUAACUGACGCUGAGGCUCGAAAGCGUGGGGAGCGAACAGGAUUAGAUACCCUGGUAGUCCACGCCGUAAACGAUGAGUGCUAGGUGUUGGAUCCUUUCCGGGAUUCAGUGCCGCAGCUAACGCAUUAAGCACUCCGCCUGGGGAGUACGACCGCAAGGUUGAAACUCAAAGGAAUUGACGGGGGCCCGCACAAGCGGUGGAGCAUGUGGUUUAAUUCGAAGCAACGCGAAGAACCUUACCAGGUCUUGACAUCCCGAUGCUAUUUCUAGAGAUAGAAAGUUACUUCGGUACAUCGGUGACAGGUGGUGCAUGGUUGUCGUCAGCUCGUGUCGUGAGAUGUUGGGUUAAGUCCCGCAACGAGCGCAACCCCUAUUGUUAGUUGCCAUCAUUCAGUUGGGCACUCUAGCGAGACUGCCGGUAAUAAACCGGAGGAAGGUGGGGAUGACGUCAAAUCAUCAUGCCCCUUAUGACCUGGGCUACACACGUGCUACAAUGGUUGGUACAACGAGUUGCGAGUCGGUGACGGCGAGCUAACCUCUUAAAGCCAAUCUCAGUUCGGAUUGUAGGCUGCAACUCGCCUACAUGAAGUCGGAAUCGCUAGUAAUCGCGGAUCAGCACGCCGCGGUGAAUACGUUCCCGGGCCU
rnacentral:rRNA from 1 species